rnacentral:rRNA from 1 species
GAUGAACGCUGGCGGCGUGCCUAAUACAUGCAAGUCGAGCGAACAGAUGAGGAGCUUGCUCCUCUGACGUUAGCGGCGGACGGGUGAGUAACACGUGGAUAACCUACCUAUAAGACUGGGAUAACUUCGGGAAACCGGAGCUAAUACCGGAUAAUCUAUUGAACCGCAUGGUUCAAUAGUGAAAGACGGUCUUGCUGUCACUUAUAGAUGGAUCCGCGCCGCAUUAGCUAGUUGGUAAGGUAACGGCUUACCAAGGCAACGAUGCGUAGCCGACCUGAGAGGGUGAUCGGCCACACUGGAACUGAGACACGGUCCAGACUCCUACGGGAGGCAGCAGUAGGGAAUCUUCCGCAAUGGGCGAAAGCCUGACGGAGCAACGCCGCGUGAGUGAUGAAGGUCUUCGGAUCGUAAAACUCUGUUAUUAGGGAAGAACAAAUGUGUAAGUAACUGUGCACGUCUUGACGGUACCUAAUCAGAAAGCCACGGCUAACUACGUG